AAUAGAUACCCGGGUAGUCCACGCCCUAAACGAUGUCAACUGGUUGUCGGGGAAGCAAUUCCUUGGUAACGAAGCUAACGCGUGAAGUUGACCGCCUGGGGAGUACGGCCGCAAGGUUAAAACUCAAAGGAAUUGACGGGGACCCGCACAAGCGGUGGAUUAUGUGGAUUAAUUCGAUGCAACGCGAAAAACCUUACCUACCCUUGACAUGUACGGAACCUCGCAGAGAUGUGAGGGUGCCCGAAAGGGAGCCGUAACACAGGUGCUGCAUGGCUGUCGUCAGCUCGUGUCGUGAGAUGUUGGGUUAAGUCCCGCAACGAGCGCAACCCUUGUCAUUAGUUGCUACAUUCAGUUGGGCACUCUAAUGAGACUGCCGGUGACAAACCGGAGGAAGGUGGGGAUGACGUCAAGUCCUCAUGGCCCUUAUGGGUAGGGCUUCACACGUAAUACAAUGGCCGGUACAGAGGGCUGCCAACCCGCGAGGGGGAGCUAAUCCCAGAAAGCCGGUCGUAGUCCGGAUUGUUCUCUGCAACUCGAGAGCAUG
rnacentral:rRNA from 1 species